rnacentral:tRNA from 1 species
UAGCUCAGUCAGUUGAGCAUGGCGCUAACAACGCCAAGGUCAUGGGUUCAAUUCCCGU